rnacentral:snRNA from 1 species
GUGCUCACUUCGGCAGCACAUAUACUAAAAUUGGAACAAUACGGAGAAGAUUAGCAUGGCCCCUGCACAAGGAUGACACGCAAAUUCGUGAAGCAUUCCAUAUUUUU